AGCUGUAUUCCAUAAUAUCUAAAAAGUUUUUUUUUUCUUUUCUUUUAGAGUAGUUAUCUAUUGAAUCUUGAAACUUCUGUUCACUCACAAUUCUUCAGACCACAAAACAAUGGUCGUUGACAACCGCCUCAAGCACAACGAUAUUUGUUGUAAUAUUACAGUAGCUCUGGUCAGUGUGUAAUCCCUGACGUCAGAACUUAAUCGCCGGAGAGGAUUGCCUGAAAACGAUCGGUUUACUGACGAAAACAGAGCGGUUUUCCGGUGAUUAUAGGGAGAGAAAGAGGAACAGUUGUAGAGAGAGAAAGUGAACAGUGGAUCUCCAAAAAACCGUCAUCUCCGGCGACGAUUAAACAGCCGAGAUCGGAGGAACCGCGUCGUCGCUGCCGGUGAAUGUGCCGGACUGGUUGAAGAUGAUUGUAGUGCCGGUUAACCGGUGAGAUGAAUCGCCGGAGGAAGGUUUCCAGUGCUACAGUACGAGAUAUUGAUGGCGUACCUGAAUUUGAUGAACGAAAAUUAUCGAAAUUGCAGAAAAAAAUGUUGGAGAUCAAAGUGGAUUCUCGUGCAUGAGAAGAGAGCAAUCGUGCUGAUAACGUGAUAUAAACCAAUUGGAAUUCUCUAUUAGAUUGCAAGUGAUUGUAUUAAAUCUUCUGGAAAACCAACAUCAAAAUAACAAUAUACAAGAGUAUUAUAUAAUACAUGCAGUUACAAGAUGUUAACUGCCAAGGCAGUUACAUGGGGGAAACGUACAAGGUGUUAACUGCCAAGGCAGUUACAUGGGGAAAACGUAUAUCUGGUUUUAUAACAU
rnacentral:lncRNA from 1 species